rnacentral:snRNA from 1 species
GGUACACCGUGGGACUAUUUUG